rnacentral:rRNA from 1 species
UACGGAGAGUGCGAACGUUGUUCGGAUUCACUGGGCGUAAAGGGCACGUAGGCGGCUCAGCAAAUCAGUCGUGGAAUCCCGACGCUUACCGUCGGAACGGCGGCUGAAAAUACUGGGCUUGAGGGCGUGAGGGGUCACUGGAACUCCCGGUGAAGCGGUGAAAUGCGUAGAUAUCGGGAGGAACGCCGGAGGCGAAAGCGAGUGACUGGCGCGUUCCUGACGCUGAGGUGCGAAAGCUAGGGGAGCAAACAGGAUUAGAUACCCUGGUAGUCCUAGCCGUAAACGAUGGACACUGAGUGAAGGGGGGCUUGCCCCUCUUUGCUGCAGCUAACGCGUUAAGUGUCCCGCCUGGGGAGUACGGCCGCAAGGUUAAA